UAAGACAGAGGUGGCGAGCGUUGUUCGGAUUUAUUGGGCGUAAAGCGCACGCAGGCGGUUUGGUAAGUCAGAGGUGAAAUUCCGCAGCUUAACUGCGGGACUGCCUUUGAUACUGCCUUUCUCGAGUGCAUGAGGGGGAAGCGGAAUUCCGGGUGUAGAGGUGAAAUUCGUAGAUAUCCGGAGGAACACCGGUGGCGAAGGCGGCUUCCUGGCAUGUAACUGACGCUCAGGUGCGAAAGCGUGGGUAGCAAACAGGAUUAGAUACCCUGGUAGUCCACGCCCUAAACGAUGGGCACUAGGUGUGGGAGGUAUCGACCCCUUCCGUGCCGCAGCUAACGCAUUAAGUGCCCCGCCUGGGGAGUACGGCCGCAAGGUUGAAACUUAAAGGAAUUGACGG
rnacentral:rRNA from 1 species